UUCAUUUGGAUGAUCGAUGGAGAUCCAGUCCCAAAACCACGCGAUGAUGCGUUAGAAAUCUCUUUUCAUCUGCCACCCAAAUGAAGCCUAAGCCGGAACGAAAUUUAUUGAUAGAUUAGGAUUGUGGGGAAACAUCACAGAACAUCCUAGAAAAUACAGAAGUAGGCGGCUAGCUAUUCCUCAUCUCCUAAAUUUCACCUUCUCUCCAAAGUUAAGAAGGAAUCAUGUUAGAAAAGUUUUCCCCCUUUCUGGUCUGUUUAAUUAAAACUUUAAAUUCAGAAACUUGAAGAUAUUAAACUUUAUAGCAGAAGGAAUUUUUCAUCUGAAAACAAGUCCUAAGUAUACUUUAUUAUACCUAAAAUACACAAAACACACGCUUAAAGCUCUGCAGCUGCGUUUUGCUAUCAGAUGCAAAGGCAAACUGCAGCUUAAUUACAUAUUAGUAGUAUAAUAUAUAGAUAUAUCUAAGUUGUCAAUAUAAGGUGCACUUUGCCUUGGUAACAUUCCAAGACAUAUGUGACAAGCUUGUCAAGCUCUUCCUCACUGAUGUACCCAUCGCCGUUUUUGUCAGCCAUCUGAAACGCACGAUAAGUUCUGUAAGCAGGAAAACGAGAUUGAAGCCUUCGGAAACCUGCCUUCACCUCUUCCCAGCUAAGCUUUCCAUCGUUGUUGACAUCGCAUCUCUUGAACAGGCUCAGUAUCAGAGCACGCUCAGCUUGUGAAGAUGUUGGUAUCCUUUUAUCUAUAUUACAACGGACUUUUUCAACAGCCAUAAGGAAGAAAUUUGUAAUAUUAUUUGCUCGGUGUAAGUUUAAAAUGAAUAGCUACAACAUUUGUUUAUAUAGUCACAACUCUGCACCUUAAUUUUAGCUUUUUUGUUUGUUUAUUAAUUUGUGAGCUACUAAGAAAUUUUCUUGGGUGCUUCUCAAUCU
rnacentral:lncRNA from 1 species